rnacentral:rRNA from 1 species
AUUGAACGCUGGCGGCAGGCCUAACACAUGCAAGUCGAACGAGUGGCGGACGGGUGAGUAAUGUCUGGGAAACUGCCUGAUGGAGGGGGAUAACUCCUGGAAACGGUAGCUAAUACCGCAUAACAUCCGGUGUGCCCAGAUGGGAUUGGCUAGUUGGUGGGGUAACGGCUCACCAAGGCGACGAUCCCUAGCUGGUCUGAGAGGAUGACCAGCCACACGGGAACUGGGACACGGGCCAGACGCCUACGGGAGGCAGCAGUGGGGAAUAUUGCACAAUGGGCGCAAUCCUGAUGCAGCCAUGCCGCGUGUAUGAAGAAGGCCUUCGGGUUGUAAAGUACUUUCAGCGGGGAGGCGUUACCCACAGAAGAAGCACCGGCUAACUCCGUGCCAGCAGCCGCGGUAAUUC